rnacentral:lncRNA from 1 species
UUGGCUGUCCUGCUCACCCUCUACCUGAGCCUGGCACAUGAGCUGGACCAGCAAGAUUUACGCUAUCUCCGUGCCCAGCUUCAAAGAAAGCUUCAGUUACUUGCUGGGCCCAAUGAUGGAGAUGCUGAGUGAAAUCUAACCCCCUAGGGUAAAACUAUUGUCCCUAGGCUCCAAAACCCUGUAUGCACUCCUACCCCCAAAUUCCAAGUUCUAUUCCCUGAAAUCCAGGAGCUACCCUAGAGAACCUAUCUUCUGAAUUCCAAGUUCCAUUCCUGAACUUGAGAUUUCUAUACCUAUUCCAACUUGAGACACUACCCCUUGAAGCUUGAGGUGACAUCCUUCUGCAUCAGAGAUGCUUCUUCCCAACCCCCAACUCUGUCUCUUCUGAAUUCCAAACUCUGCCUCCUAGAUCCCAAGCUUCCCUCCUUUUGGACUUUAGGCAUGGUUCUCAGGUUAUGGGAAUAUAGAUUCCUGACUUGGAACCCACAGUUUUAAGAUUUAGUAUCUCUUAACCUAGGAUCCCACUCCUCUACCUAAGGACCACUCAAUUCAAUCCAGAGAGAGGAAUGAGAUCCUUGGGGAACACAUUGAAGGUAUCUCAAACAAGAGACCUCUCUGUCUAUUUUCCCCUCCAAAUUCUAGGGGAAGAAGUUGGCCCUGUUUAGUCCUCUACCACUGAUUCCCAACUCUAUACUCAGGGACAUCUCCUUUUCCGUGAUAUCUUUACCUACCCCAGUGUUAGACUGGAAGUGAAGUGUUUUCUAGCCUCUAGUUUAAAGUCCCUUUCCUUAGCUCCCUGUUUCUCAUCUUCCAGCCUUUUCCUCAGGAUCUUUGAAGUUCUUUCAAGAGUGCUUCGGCAGUUAGACUCUCCAUGCCUUCACAUCAAAUGUUGGGAGGAUAGGGCAGGAGAUGGGAAGGGCGGGACGGCUCUCAGCAGCUGCAGCUUCCUCCCUGGGUCCCCCCCAGGGGCCUGAGUCACGGGCCACCGCCCAGGACCCGGGCUUUGGG